rnacentral:rRNA from 1 species
UACACGACCGUACCGCAAACCGACACUGGUGCGCGAGAUGAGUAUUCUAAGGCGCUUGAGAGAACUCAGGAGAAGGAACUCGGCAAAUUGACACCGUAACUUCGGAAGAAGGUGUGCCUUUAGUAGGUGAAGUCCCUCGCGGAUGGAGCCCAAUGAGGUUGCAAAAAAUCGGUGGCUGCGACUGUUUAUUAAAAACACAGCACUCUGCAAACACGAAAGUGGACGUAUAGGGUGUGACGCCUGCCCGGUGCUGGAAGAUUAAAUGAUGGGGUGCAAGCUCUUGAUUGAAGUCCCAGUAAACGGCGGCCGUAACUAUAACGGUCCUAAGGUAGCGAAAUUCCUUGUCGGGUAAGUUCCGACCUGCACGAAUGGCGUAACGAUGGCCACACUGUCUCCUCCUGAGACUCAGCGAAGUUGAAAUGUUUGUGAUGAUGCAAUCUCCCCGCGGAAAGACGGAAAGACCCCAUGAACCUUUACUGUAGCUUUGUAUUGGACUUUGAACAGAUCUGUGUAGGAUAGGUGGGAGGCUUUGAAGCAGGGUCGCUAGAUCUUGUGGAGCCAACGUUGGAAUACCACCCUGGUGUGUUUGAGGUUCUAACCUAGGUCCAUUAUCUGGAUCGGGGACAGUGCAUGGUAGGCAGUUUGACUGGGGCGGUCUCCUCCCAAAGCGUAACGGAGGAGUUCGAAGGUACGCUAGUUACGGUCGGACAUCGUGACGAUAGUGCAAUGGCAUAAGCGUGCUUAACUGCGAGACUGACAAGUCGAGCAGAUGCGAAAGCAGGACAUAGUGAUCCGGUGGUUCUGUAUGGAAGGGCCAUCGCUCAACGGAUAAAAGGUACUCUGGGGAUAACAGGCUGAUACCGCCCAAGAGUUCAUAUCGACGGCGGUGUUUGGCACCUCGAUGUCGGCUCAUCUCAUCCUGGGGCUGUAGCCGGUCCCAAGGGUAUGGCUGUUCGCCAUUUAAAGAGGUACGUGAGCUGGGUUUAAAACGUCGUGAGACAGUUUGGUCCCUAUCUUCCGUGGGCGCUGCAGAUUUGAGGAAGCCUGCUCCUAGUACGAGAGGACCGGAGUGGACACACCUCUGGUGUAUCGGUUGUCACGCCAGUGGCAUUGCCGAGUAGCUAAGUGUGGAAGAGAUAACCGCUGAAAGCAUCUAAGCGGGAAACUCGUUUCAAGAUGAGAUCUGCCGGGGCCUUGAGCCCCCUGAAGAGUCGUUCAAGACCAGGACGUUGAUAGGCAGGGUGUGGAAGCGCAGUAAUGCGUUAAGCUAACCUGUACUAAUUGCUCGUGCGACUUGACC